AGUGAACGCUGGCGGUAGGCCUAACACAUGCAAGUCGAACGGCAGCACAGUAAGAGCUUGCUCUUACGGGUGGCGAGUGGCGGACGGGUGAGGAAUACAUCGGACUCUACUUUUUCGUGGGGGAUAACGUAGGGAAACUUACGCUAAUACCGCAUACGACCUACGGGUGAAAGCAGGGGAUCUUCGGACCUUGCGCGAUUGAAUGAGCCGAUGUCGGAUUAGCUAGUUGGCGGGGUAAAGGCCCACCAAGGCGACGAUCCGUAGCUGGUGUGAGAGGAUGAUCAGCCACACUGGAACUGAGACACGGUCCAGACGCCUACGGGAGGCAGCAGUGGGGAAUAUUAGACAGUGGGCGCAAGCCUGAUCCAACCAUACCGCGUGGGUGAAGGAGGCGUUCGGGUUGUGAAGCCCUUUUGUUGGGAAAGAAAGGCAGCAGGUUAAUACCCCGCUGUUCUGACGGUACCCAAAGAAUAAGCACCGGCUAACUUCGUG
rnacentral:rRNA from 1 species